rnacentral:rRNA from 1 species
AUUGAACGCUGGCGGCAGGCCUAACACAUGCAAGUCGAGCGAGCGGCGGACGGGUGAGUAAUGUCGGGGAAACUGCCUGAUGGAGGGGGGUAACUACUGGAACCGGUAGCUAAUACCGCAUACCAUCAGAUGUGCCAAGAUGGGAGUAGCUAGUAGGUGGGGUAACGGCUCACCUUGGGGCCGAGCCCUAGCUGGUCUGAGAGGAUGACCAGCGACACUGGAACGGAGACACGGUCCAGACUCCUACGGGAGGAAGCAGUGGGGAAUAGUGCACAAUGGGCGCAAGCCUGAUGCAGCCAUGCCGCGUGUGUGAAGAGGGGCUUCGGGUUGUAAAGCACUUUCAGCGGGGCGGCGUUACCCGCAGAAGAAGCACCGGCUAACUCCGUGCCAGCCGCCGCGGUAAUUC